ACUCGUUGGUAAGGUAGUGGCUUACCAAGGUUGCAACGGGUAACGGGGAAUCAGGGUUCGAUUCCGGAGAGGGAGCCUGAGAAACGGCUACCACAUCCAAGGAUGGCAGCAGGCGCGUAAAUUACCCAAUCCAGACAAUGGGAGGUGGUGACCAGAAGUACUGAGUGGUAGAUUUAUCUACUAAUCUCGGAAUGAGCAUAAAGUAAAAAGUUAGUCGAGUAACAACUGGAGGGCAAGUCUGGUGCCAGCAGCCGCGGUAAUUCCAGCUCCAGUAGCAUGUCGUAAAGUUGUUGCGUUUAAAACGCUCGUAGUUGGAUCAUACGGUAUCGGUCAGUUAGUAUGCAAACCUGGCAGAAAAUCUCGCAACUGCGGCCUACUCAGUUAGUUCUGGGGGGUCAGGGGCUGCGGGAGUCAGAAUUUGUAGCCUAUCCGCUGGCCGGUACUACUUGCACGCAAGAAUGGCGGUUGGCCUUAAGUGAGUCGGUCGUUGUGUCUUGCGGAGUGUGCCUUGAAUAAAUCAGAGUGCUUAAAGCAGGCUAGUGCCUGAAUGAUACAGCAUGGAACGAACAAACGUGGUUAGUGCAGAGUCGGUGACAAUGUUACUGGCUGUGCACAUCACCAACCGCCUGUACGGAUGUUGGGUUCCGUAUUGGGGUGAUGAUUAAAACGAGCGGUUGGGGGCAUUGGUAUUUGGCCGCGAGAGGUGAAAUUCUUAGACCGGCCAAGGACUAACAAAAGCGAAGGCAUUUGCCAAGACCGCCUCGAUUGAUCAAGAACGAUAGUGGGAGGUUCGAAGACGAUCAGAUACCGUCCUAGUUCCCACAGUAAACUAUGCCGACCCGGGAUCAGUUUAGAGCUAAAGAUAACGCUCCAGGUUGGUCCCCCUGGGAAACCUAAAGUGUUUGGGUUACGGGGGGAGUAUGGUCGCAAGGCUGAGACUUAAAGGAAUUGACGGAAGGGCACCACCAGGGGUGGAGCCUGCGGCUUAAUUUGACUCAACACGGGAAAACUCACCGGUUCCGGACGUCAAAAGGAUAGACAGACUGAUAGAUCUUUCUUGAUAUGAUGUGUGGUGGUGCAUGGCCGUUCUUAGUUCGUGAAGUGAUUUGUCAGGUUAAUUCCGGUAACGAACGAGAUCAAGAUCUCCGUUUACGGCGUGGAAUAGUCGGUGGAAACACUGGCUCUAGUUGUGAAGUACGGUUGAUGGUUCGCCAGAGACUGAAUUUUGUGACUUUUCUUCCACGACGCCAUGUGCGGCAACGUAUGUGGCUGCAUGGAGAGACAACUGACUUUUAAAUCAGAGGAAGUUUGGCAAUAACAGGUCUGUGGUGCCCUUAGACGUACCGGGCUGCACGCGCGCUACAAUGGUAACA
rnacentral:rRNA from 1 species